rnacentral:tRNA from 1 species
GCCGGGGUGGCGUAGCCAGGAAGCGCGCAUGCUUGGAGAGCAUGCGGUCCUCUGGACCUCAGGGGUUCAAAUCCCCUCCCCGGCGCCA